GGGCCUACGGGACGCAGCAGUAGGGAAUCUUCCACAAUGGACGAAAGUCUGAUGGAGCAACGCCGCGUGAGUGAAGAAGGGUUUCGGCUCGUAAAGCUCUGUUGGUAGUGAAGAAAGAUAGAGGUAGUAACUGGCCUUUAUUUGACGGUAAUUACUUAGAAAGUCAAGGCUAACUACGUGCCAGCAGACGCGGUAAUACGUAGGUGGCCAGCGUUGUACGGAUUUAUUGGGCGUAAAGCGAGGGCAGGCGGUUCAAUAAGUUUGA
rnacentral:rRNA from 1 species